rnacentral:sRNA from 1 species
AUCUGAGCUUUGACACCUGGCAGGACUCAUGCCUCCUCUGCUCUGCUGUCUUCGGCAGGAACGCGGCAGGCAAAGAUGGCAAAGAGCGCUUGGGCGGCUCAGUGCUGGGGCAGAUCCCCUUCCUGCAGAACUGCGAGGACGAAGACAGCGACGAGGACGAUGAGCUGGACAGUGUGCAGCACAAGAAGCAGCGUGUGAAGCUCCCAUCCAAGGCCCUGGUGCCCGAAAUGGAAGACGAGGACGAGGAAGACGACUCCGAGGAUGCUAUCAAUGAGUUUGAUUUCCUGGGCUCAGGAGAGGAUGGGGAAGGGGCUCCAGACCCUCGGCGGUGCACUGUGGAUGGGAGCCCCCACGAGCUGGAAAGCCGUCGGGUCAAACUCCAAGGCAUUCUGGCUGACCUGCGGGAUGUGGAUGGGCUGCCCCCAAAAGUGACUGGCCCGCCUCCUGGCACACCCCAGCCCCGGCCACACGAAGACGUCUUCAUCAUGGACACUAUCGGGGGCGGGGAGGUGAGCCUGGGGGACUUGGCAGAUCUCACCGUCACCAACGACAACGACCUCAGCUGCGA